rnacentral:misc_RNA from 1 species
UACGUAGGGGGCGAGCGUUAUCCGGAUUUAUUGGGCGUAAAGGGCGCGCAGGCGGCCACGGGCAGUGGCGUGUGGAAUCUCCCCGCUCAACGGGGAGGGGUCACGCCAGACGACGUGGCUUGGGGCAGGCAGAGGCGCACGGAACGGGCGGAGUAGGGGUGAAAUCCGUAGAGACCGUCCGGAACACCAGAGGCGAAGGCGGUGCGCUGGGCCUGGUUCGAAAGAACGUCCGCAAGGAUCCCGACGCUCAGG